UUCUUGGAGAUUCCAUAGCAGUUGAAGGAGAGAUCAUUCUACUAGUAAUUGCUAGAGCAAAGCCUUAUUAGAAGACUAUGCAGUGGGCUUUCCUCAUUGUCCAAGUACCUUCUGCCUAUAAUGCAAUCCUCAGACGAUCAAGACUUAACACCCUUCAAGUGAUCAUCUCCACCUAACAUUUGCUGAUAUGAUUCCUAACUCAAGAUGGAGUCGGCA
rnacentral:lncRNA from 1 species